ACACGGAAUGGGAGCCGGCCGCGGAGGUGGUUUUCCGUGGUCAAGCACGCAGCCAGUCGCACAGGCAAAUCCGUGCGGCAUGCAUGGCGAGGUGCGAUGAUGGGAGCCGUUAUGGCUCGAUAUCCGGUUGUCCAGGCCGUCGAGAAAAGCCUCGGCGCGAGGGCCAUGGCCGCCCGUACCCCAAACCGACACUGGUGGUCAGGUAGAGAAUACCAAGGCGAUCGAGCGAAUCCUGGUCAAGGAACUCGGCAAAUCACUCCCGUGCCUUCGGUAUAAGGGAGACCCAUUGGGGUGAACGGCCUCGCGCCGGGAGCCUUGGUGGGUGGCACAGACCAGGGGGUAGCGACUGUUUACCAAAAACACAGGUGCAUGCGAAGGCGAAAGCCGCUGUAUAUGCACUGACGCCUGCCCGGUGCCGGAAGGUUAAGAGGAUCCGUCAAUCCCUUCGGGGACGAAGCGGUGAAUUCAAGCCCCGGUAAACGGCGGUGGUAACUAUAACCAUCCUAAGGUAGCGAAAUUCCUUGUCGGGUAAGUUCCGACCUGCACGAAUGGCGUAACGACUUCCCCACUGUCUCGACCAGGAGCUCGGCGAAAUUGCAGUACGAGUAAAGAUGCUCGUUAAGCGCAGAAGGACGAAAAGACCCCGGGACCUUUACUAUACCUUGGUAUUGGCGUUAGGCGCGGAUUGUGUAGCAUAGGCGGGAGGCUUCGAAGCGCGGGCGCCAGCCCGUGUGGAGCCGCAAGGUGAAAUACCGCUCUGUUCUCGUUUGACGUCUAACCUCGACAAGUCAUCCUUGUCAGGGACAGUGCCUGGCGGGUAGUUCAACUGGGGCGGUUGCCUCCCAAAGAGUAACGGAGGCGCUCAAAGGUCCGCUCAGCCCGGUUGGCAAUCGGGUGUCGAGUGUAAUCGCACAAGCGGGCUUGACUGCGAGGACGACGGUCCGAGCAGGGACGAAAGUCGGAGAUAGUGAUCCGGUGCCGGCGCACGGGCGCGGCAUCGCUCAACGGAUAAAAGGUACCCCGGGGAUAACAGGCUGAUCAUUCCCAAGAGUCCAUAUCGACGGGAUGGUUUGGCACCUCGAUGUCGGCUCGUCGCAUCCUGGGGCUGGAGCAGGUCCCAAGGGUUCGGCUGUUCGCCGAUUAAAGCGGCACGCGAGCUGGGUUCAGAACGUCGUGAGACAGUUUGGUCUCUAUCCUCUGCGCUCGUUGGAAUCCUGAGGAGGCCUGCCCAUAGUACGAGAGGACCUGGGUGGACGAACCUCUGGUAUGCCGGUUGUCACGCCAGUGGCACGGCCGGUUGGCUACGUUCGGGAGGGAUAACCGCUGAAAGCAUCUAAGCGGGAAGCCUGCUCCAAGAUUAGGAUUCCGUACAGUCCUGAACUGUUGUAGCCCGCAUGUUGAACACGUGUUUGAUAGGCCGGGGGUGGAAGUCCCGUGAGGGAUGGAGCCGACCGGUACUAACGGGCGAUGGCGACACAA
rnacentral:rRNA from 1 species